AGCUAAUAGAUACCCAGGUAGUCCACGCCCUAAACGAUGUCUACUAGUUGUUGGUGGAGUAAAAUCCAUGAGUAAACGCAGCUAACGCGUGAAGUAGACCGCCUGGGGAGUACGGUCGCAAGAUUAAAACUCAAAGGAAUUGACGGGGGCCCGCACAAGCGGUGGAUUAUGUGGAUUAAUUCGAUGCAACGCGAAAACCUUACCUGGCCUUGACAUGCCACUAACGAAGCAGAGAUGCAUUAGGUGCCCGUAAGGGAAAGUGGACACAGGUGCUGCACGGCUGUCGUCAGCUCGUGUCGUGAGAUGUUGGGUUAAGUCCCGCAACGAGCGCAACCCUUGCCAUUAAUUGCCAUCAUUUAGUUGGGCACUUUAAUGGGACUGCCGGUGACAAACCGGAGGAAGGUGGGGAUGACGUCAAGUCCUCAUGGCCCUUAUGGCCAGGGCUUCACACGUAAUACAAUGGUCGGUACAGAGAGUUGCCAACCCGCGAGGGGUAGCUAAUCUCAGAAAGCCGAUCGUAGUCCGGACUGUUCUCUGC
rnacentral:rRNA from 1 species